UACGUAGGGACCGAGCGUUGUCCGGAAUCAUUGGGCGUAAAGAGCGUGUAGGCGGCCACUUAAGUCCUGCGUGAAAUCUUGCGGCUCAUCCGCAAGCGGUCGUGGGAAACUGGGUGGCUAGAGUGCGGGAGAGGAGAGUGGAAUUCCUGGUGUAGCGGUGGAAUGCGCAGAUAUCAGGAGGAACACCGGUGGCGAAGGCGGGUCUCUGGGCCGAUACUGACGCUGAGGAGCGAAAGCGUGGGGAGCGAACAGG
rnacentral:rRNA from 1 species